AUUGCCAGCUGGUGGAUCUUGAGAGAAAAUUCCAAGGCUUGCAGCAGACUGUUGACAAAAAGGUUUGCAGCAGCAAUCCUUGCCAGAAUGGUGGAACCUGCCUCAAUCUGCAUGAUUCCUUUUUUUGUAUCUGUCCCCCACAGUGGAAGGGUCCUCUCUGCUCAGCUGAUGUUAACGAAUGUGAGAUUUACUCAGGAACACCCUUGAGCUGCCAGAAUGGAGGCACAUGUGUUAAUACAAUGGGAAGUUACAGGAACCGGAAGAAGGCUCCCGUGAUUGGCACAGAGAGUAAGCAUGGCCUGGUGCAAAAGGAGCUGAAGACUUAGGAAGAGCCGGAGCAUUGAAGGGGAGCCACUGAAUGGCCUUAAGUAGAAAAGGGGACACCCCACCACACCAGUGUCCCCAGCUGUACUCUUUCCAUGUAUUAGCAAGCUCAUAGUUUUGGGUAAAGAGAGCUUUAUUCAAUGCUAUGUCAAAAUGUGACCAUAACGAGGUCAAAGAUUAAACUGAGGUUCAAUGAA
rnacentral:lncRNA from 1 species